AUUACUGGAGGUUUGACGUUUCAGUAGCUGCCUGCUUCAAGGAUUUAAAUGAAACAAAAUCUGAAAAAAGGAAUAAAUAUUUCCAGAUCUGGAUGUAGUAGGAUGACAGGAAAACUAAAACAGAUGCCAUUGAGAGAACAAAAUACAGCUGAA